UACAUGCAAGUCGAGCGAACAGACGAGGAGCUUGCUCCUCUGACGUUAGCGGCGGACGGGUGAGUAACACGUGGAUAACCUACCUAUAAGACUGGGAUAACUUCGGGAAACCGGAGCUAAUACCGGAUAAUAUAUUGAACCGCAUGGUUCAAUAGUGAAAGACGGUUUUGCUGUCACUUAUAGAUGGAUCCGCGCCGCAUUAGCUAGUUGGUAAGGUAACGGCUUACCAAGGCGACGAUGCGUAGCCGACCUGAGAGGGUGAUCGGCCACACUGGAACUGAGACACGGUCCAGACUCCUACGGGAGGCAGCAGUAGGGAAUCUUCCACAAUGGGCGAAAGCCUGACGGAGCAACGCCGCGUGAGUGAUGAAGGUCUUCGGAUCGUAAAACUCUGUUAUUAGGGAAGAACAAAUGUGUAAGUAACUAUGCACGUCUUGACGGUACCUAAUCAGAAAGCCACGGCUAACUACGUGCCAGCAGCCGCGGUAAUACGUAGGUGGCAAGCGUUAUCCGGAAUUAUUGGGCGUAAAGCGCGCGUAGGCGGUUUUUUAAGUCUGAUGUGAAAGCCCACGGCUCAACCGUGGAGGGUCAUUGGAAACUGGAAAACUUGAGUGCAGAAGAGGAAAGUGGAAUUCCAUGUGUAGCGGUGAAAUGCGCAGAGAUAUGGAGGAACACCAGUGGCGAAGGCGACUUUCUGGUCUGUAACUGACGCUGAUGUGCGAAAGCGUGGGGAUCAAACAGGAUUAGAUACCCUGGUAGUCCACGCCGUAAACGAUGAGUGCUAAGUGUUAGGGGGUUUCCGCCCCCUAGUGCUGCAGCUAACGCAUUAAGCACUCCGCCUGGGGAGUACGACCGCAAGGUUGAAACUCAAAGGAAUUGACGGGGACCCGCACAAGCGGUGGAGCAUGUGGUUUAAUUCGAAGCAACGCGAAGAACCUUACCAAAUCUUGACAUCCUCUGACCCCUCUAGAGAUAGAGUUUUCCCCUUCGGGGGACAGAGUAACAGGUGGUGCAUGAUUGUCGUCAGCUCGUGUCGUGAGAU
rnacentral:rRNA from 1 species